UACGUAGGUGGCAAGCGUUGUCCGGAUUUAUUGGGUUUAAAGGGUGCGUAGGCGGCCCUGUAAGUCAGUGCUGAAAUACCCCGGCUUAACCGGGGGGGUGGCAUUGAUACUGCAGGGCUUGAGUACAGAUGAGGUAGGCGGAAUUGACGGUGUAGCGGUGAAAUGCAUAGAUAUCGUCAAGAACACCGAUAGCGAAGGCAGCUUACUGGGCUGUAACUGACGCUGAGUGCACGAAAGUGUGGGGAUCAAACAGG
rnacentral:rRNA from 1 species